AUAGAAAUUGCCUGGGGAUCUUGUUAAAAUGUAGCUUCUGAUACAGUAGUUCUGGUGGAGCAUGAGACUCUGCAUUUCUAAGAAGUUUCCAGGCAAUGUCAAC
rnacentral:pre_miRNA from 1 species